rfam:Amycolatopsis halophila YIM 93223 genomic scaffold AmyhaDRAFT_Scaffold1.1, whole genome shotgun sequence.
AAGAGCGGAGUGACGGGAGACUGUCACGCUCCGUUCUGAGGGAGCCCGGGGGUGAGAUUCCCCCGGGCCACCCGAC